rnacentral:rRNA from 1 species
CCGACUAAGCCAUGCGAGUCAAGGGGGCGUCCCUUCUGGGACGCCACCGGCGGACGGCUCAGUAACACGUCGGUAACCUACCCUCGGGAGGGGGAUAACCCCGGGAAACUGGGGCUAAUCCCCCAUAGGCCUGGGGUACUGGAAGGUCCCCAGGCCGAAAGGGAGCCGUAAGGCUCCGCCCGAGGAUGGGCCGGCGGCCGAUUAGGUAGUUGGUGGGGUAACGGCCCACCAAGCCGAAGAUCGGUACGGGCCGUGAGAGCGGGAGCCCGGAGAUGGACACUGAGACACGGGUCCAGGCCCUACGGGGCGCAGCAGGCGCGAAACCUCCGCAAUGCGGGAAACCGCGACGGGGGGACCCCCAGUGCCGUGCCUCUGGCACGGCUUUUCCGGAGUGUAAAAAGCUCCGGGAAUAAGGGCUGGGCAAGGCCGGUGGCAGCCGCCGCGGUAAUACCGGCGGCCCGAGUGGUGGCCACUAUUAUUGGGCCUAAAGCGGCCGUAGCCGGGCCCGUAAGUCCCUGGCGAAAUCCCACGGCUCAACCGUGGGGCUCGCUGGGGAUACUGCGGGCCUUGGGACCGGGAGAGGCCGGGGGUACCCCCGGGGUAGGGGUGAAAUCCUAUAAUCCCGGGGGGACCGCCAGUGGCGAAGGCGCCCGGCUGGAACGGGUCCGACGGUGAGGGCCGAAGGCCAGGGGAGCGAACCGGAUUAGAUACCCGGGUAGUCCUGGCUGUAAAGGAUGCGGGCUAGGUGUCGGGCGAGCUUCGAGCUCGCCCGGUGCCGUAGGGAAGCCGUUAAGCCCGCCGCCUGGGGAGUACGGCCGCAAGGCUGAAACUUAAAGGAAUUGGCGGGGGAGCACUACAAGGGGUGGAGCGUGCGGUUUAAUUGGAUUCAACGCCGGGAACCUCACCGGGGGCGACGGCAGGAUGAAGGCCAGGCUGAAGGUCUUGCCGGACGCGCCGAGAGGAGGUGCAUGGCCGCCGUCAGCUCGUACCGUGAGGCGUCCACUUAAGUGUGGUAACGAGCGAGACCCGCGCCCCCAGUUGCCAGUCCCUCCCGCUCGGGAGGGAGGCACUCUGGGGGGACUGCCGGCGAUAAGCCGGAGGAAGGGGCGGGCGACGGUAGGUCAGUAUGCCCCGAAACCCCCGGGCUACACGCGCGCUACAAUGGGCGGGACAAUGGGACCCGACCCCGAAAGGGGAAGGGAAUCCCCUAAACCCGCCCUCAGUUCGGAUCGCGGGCUGCAACUCGCCCGCGUGAAGCUGGAAUCCCUAGUACCCGCGCGUCAUCAUCGCGCGGCGAAUACGUCCCUGCUCCUUGCACACACCGCCCGUCACUCCACCCGAGCGGGGCCCAGGUGAGGCCCGAUCUCCUUCGGGAGGUCGGGUCGAGCCUGGGCUCCGUGAGGGGGGAG